rnacentral:miRNA from 1 species
AUAUAUAACUAAAUAUAGCUAUAUAUACUAUAUAAAGCUCUAUUUUAAAUAGUUUAAAUAGGGUGAGGCCUAUAGAGAUAGCGCUAGCGCCUGAGGUUUAGUUAGUAUAAACUCUACCUCUUAUUAGGAAUAAUACGCUUGAGAGGUAGAGUUUACACUAGCUAAACCUCAGGCGCUAGUACUAUCUCUAUAAGCCUCGCCCUACUUAAACUGCUUAAAAUAAAGCCUUACAUAAUAUAUAUAGCUAUAUUUAAUUAUAUAC